rnacentral:rRNA from 1 species
UACAGAGGUCUCAAGCGUUGUUCGGAUUCAUUGGGCGUAAAGCGCACGUAGGCGGCUUCUUAAGUCAGGGGUGAAAUCCUGGAGCUCAACUCCAGAACUGCCUUUGAUACUGAGGAGCUUGAGUCCGGGAGAGGUGAGUGGAACUGCGAGUGUAGAGGUGAAAUUCGUAGAUAUUCGCAAGAACACCAGUGGCGAAGGCGGCUCACUGGCCCGGUACUGACGCUGAGGUGCGAAAGCGUGGGGAGCAAACAGG